rnacentral:rRNA from 1 species
UAAUACGGAGGGGGCGAGCGUUAUUCGGAAUUAUUGGGCGUAAAGGGCGCGUAGGCGGCUCGAUAAGUCAAAGGUGAAAUCCCUCGGCUCGACUGAGGAACUGCCUUUGAAACUGUCGAGCUUGAGUCCGGGAGGGGGUGGCGGAAUUCCCAGUGUAGCGGUGAAAUGCGUAGAUAUUGGGAGGAACACCAGUGGCGAAAGCGGCUACCUGGACCGGAACUGACGCUGAUGCGCGAAAGCGUGGGUAGCAAACAGGA